AAAGAACACGCAACGUAAUCUCGAUUCUCGACCGGCUUGUCUGAUUGCUGUGUCGCGGCGGUCACGAACAUCGGCGGGAACGUGUUCUUUUUCGAACGAACAGACGCCCUCGACUAUCGACCAUCGAGGAUCGCGACGUCGGUUCGAUUAUCGAAAGAGAGGCCGGCGAGUCGCGCUCGGAUCGCGCGGCGGGAAUCGGCCCGGAAGCGUAUUCAGAGAAAAAGAAACAGAGCUGGAGAGAGAGAGAGGAAGAAGAAUAGAAGAAAGGGGUGAGAGAACAGAGAGCGAGAGAGGGUCGGAGGCGAAGGGUGAAGAAAGGCCUUCGUGUACUCGAUAGGUACAUGACGAUCGGAGAAGCUCUCACCCAGUGCACGGUAAGUAACUGUGGAACACGUUUCGAAUCGACGAGGUGAUCGACCUGCGCGAAUGUCGAUCGAUCGAUUUGUUCGAGAAACCUGGUAGCGGGAGCUGGGAGGUUAGGGACGAAAAGUCAUGGAGUCCUGAACAACUGUAGACGCACGACGUUCGCGUGCAUCCGCGCGACGAUACGCGACAAACGGGACGUUGGUUUUCUCUUGCGGCUUCUUGCGAACAAGAACGAAACGAACAAAGGAGAGACACAGGGCCAAGGAAACGAACAGCGCGUGCCGGUGAAAGGCUCGCAAACAGUUUCGAGUAUCGUCUAUCGAUUCGACUGGUGUACGUUCUCGAUGCCGCAAGGUGAUCAUCGAGCGAGCCGCCCGAGCGAAUCGAUUGUUUCCUAGAGCUGUCCCUAGAUCGCGUCCGAGAUCAAAGAUGCCGGACGGUCUACAAUUUUGAAAAUCUAUGGAACGUUCUACGUCUCUAGAAAACCUAUGAUUAUUCUAGCACAAACGUAUCUAUAUCUGUACAAUCUAGAACUCUAGAACAUCGCUAUGAAUUCCGUGUUUCUCUAAGAUCUAGACGCUACGACACUACGCCUGUUUCACGAUCUCUCUUUCUCUCUCUCUCUCACGCUCUCUCUCUCUCUCUCUCUAUCUCUCUCUCCCUCUCUCUGUGAAAUCGUCCGAACGCGGACGAAAACGAUGGAUCGACUGACAUAAUGUCGGACAUCGAAACGGACGCCGCGUGGCACAACAGUACGAAAAACAGAAACGAAGAACAAUCGAGACGUAGAAGCAGACAAAGAUAAAGCGAGUGCGCGGUUGUACAGGUGUUGGUUCUCUGUUGUGUACUGGUGUGCGUGUCCGUGUCGUGGCUCGGUGUGAGUAUAGCAGAAUAGAGUUAACACAAUUCAUACUUUCGUGUUUUCUAAAGAGAAGAGACACACACAGAGGACGCGGGGAACGCGUUCGAAUACACGAAUACCGGAAGACGGGGAUACGAUACCAUAGCAACGAGUAAAAAAGAACAACCGGAAGUCUCUAGAAUCUGUUCUGGCGAAAACUUACAGUUUACUUUGCUAGCUGUUCAAGUCGAUGCAGCAACCCAUCGAGCUCGGUUCUUGUCAGAUCAGUCCCAUCGUGAAACUCGGCAGCAUGAUCGCUCGCGACGCGAACUGCCGGCGAAACUGAUGCGCGUCGGUCCGCCGCGCAAGACGCUUCCCCCACUCUCCUGCUGACGCGGGAUACGCGGGGACUACGCUCGAGCAGAAAGCGCGGGAAGCGCGACGCGCUAAAAUUUCAAAUGCGAACGAUAAUUCGAAACUGUUUACUGCGAUGCGAUUACGAAUGAUUAAUAAAUUUAAUCGAACGAGUCUUUCAA